UACGAAGGGUGCAAGCGUUACUCGGAAUUACUGGCGUAAAGCGUGCGUAGGUGGUUUGUUAAGUCUGAUGUGAAAGCCCUAGCUCAACCUGGGAAUUGCAUUGGAUACUGGCAGGCUAGAGUGCGGUAGAGGAUGGCGGAAUUCCCGGUGUAGCAGUGAAAAAAUGCGUAGAGAUCGGGAGAACAUCUGUGGCGAAGGCGGCCAUCUGGACCAGCACUGACACUGAGGCACGAAAAGCGUGGGGGGGAGCAAAACAGGAUUAGAUACCCCUGUACGUCAGACAAUCGACGUCUCGUACUCACCCGUA
rnacentral:rRNA from 1 species